UUGAUCCUGGCUCAGAAUCAACGCUGGCGGCGUGCCUAACACAUGCAAGUCGAACGUGAAAGGGGCUUCGGCCCCGAGUAAAGUGGCAAACGGGUGAGUUACGCGUGGGUGAUCUGCCUUUGAGUGGGGGAUAACCUUCCGAAAGGAGGUCUAAUACCGCAUGACAUCCUGUUCUUGGAUGAACGGUGAUCGAAGCUGGUGACCGCAAGGCCUGGCGCUUGAAGAGGAGCCCGCGUCCGAUUAGCUAGUUGGUGGGGUAGUGGCUCACCAAGGCGGCGAUCGGUAGCCGGCCUGAGAGGUCGGACGGCCACACUGGGACUGAGACACGGCCCAGACUCCUACGGGAGGCUGCAGUGGGGAAUUGUUCGCAAUGGGCGCAAGCCUGACGACGCAACGCCGUGUGGGGGAUGAAGGUCUUCGGAUUGUAAACCCCUGUUGGGUGGGACGAAUAUUUCCGUGGUGAACAUCCACGGGAACUGACGGUACCACCUGAGGAAGCUCCGGCUAACUCUGUGCCAGCAGCCGCGGUAAUAAGGU
rnacentral:rRNA from 1 species